rnacentral:rRNA from 1 species
UGGGGGAUAUUGCACAAUGGGGGAAACCCUGAUGCAGCGACGCCGCGUGGAGGAAGAAGGUUUUCGGAUUGUAAACUCCUGUCGUUAGGGACGAUAAUGACGGUACCUAACAAGAAAGCACCGGCUAACUACGUGCCAGCAGCCGCGGUAAAACGUAGGGUGCAAGCGUUGUCCGGAAUUACUGGGUGUAAAGGGAGCGCAGGCGGGAAGACAAGUUGGAAGUGAAAACCAUGGGCUCAACCCAUGAAUUGCUUUCAAAACUGUUUUUCUUGAGUAGUGCAGAGGUAGAUGGAAUUCCCGGUGUAGCGGUGGAAUGCGUAGAUAUCGGGAGGAACACCAGUGGCGAAGGCGGUCUACUGGGCACCAACUGACGCUGAGGCUCGAAAGCAUGGGUAGCAAACAGGAUUAGAUACCCUGGUAGUCCAUGCCGUAAACGAUGAUUACUAGGUGUUGGGGGAUUGACCCCCUCAGUGCCGCAGUUAACACAAUAAGUAAUCCACCUGGGGAGUACGACCGCAAGGUUGAAACUCAAAGGAAUUGACGGGGGCCCGCACAAGCAGUGGAGUAUGUGGUUUAAUUCGAAGCAACGCGAAGAACCUUACCAGGUCUUGACAUCCAACUAACGAAGUAGAGAUACAUUAGGUGCCCUUCGGGGAAAGUUGAGACAGGUGGUGCAUGGUUGUCGUCAGCUCGUGUCGUGAGAUGUUGGGUUAAGUCCCGCAACGAGCGCAACCCUUGCUAUUAGUUGCUACGCAAGAGCACUCUAAUAGGACUGCCGUUGACAAAACGGAGGAAGGUGGGGACGACGUCAAAUCAUCAUGCCCCUUAUGACCUGGGCUACACACGUACUACAAUGGAUGUUAACAGAGGGAAGCGAAACCGCGAGGUAGAGCAAAUCCCCAAAAACGGUCUCAGUUCGGAUUGCAGGCUGCAACUCGCCUGUAUGAAGUCGGAAUUGCUAGUAAUCGUGGAUCAGCAUGCCACGGUGAAUACGUUCCC